UACGUAGGUGGCAAGCGUUGUCCGGAAUUAUUGGGCGUAAAGCGCGCGCAGGCGGUCCUUUAAGUCUGAUGUGAGAGCCCACGGCUCAACCGUGGAGGGUCAUUGGAAACUGGGGGACUUGAGUACAGAAGAGGAAAGCGGAAUUUCACGUGUAGCGGUGAAAUGCGUAGAGAUGUGGAGGAACACCAGUGGCGAAGGCGGCUUUCUGGUCUGUAACUGACGCUGAGGCGCGAAAGCGUGGGGAGCAAACAGG
rnacentral:rRNA from 1 species